AGAGUUUGAUCCUGGCUCAGAGCGAACGCUGGCGGCGUGCUUAACACAUGCAAGUCGAGUGCGCGUCUGUAGCAAUACAGAUGGCGCACGGCGCACGGGUGCGUAACACGUGGGUAAUCUGCCCUUCGAUGGGGAAUAACUCGCCGAAAGGCGAGCUAAUUCCGCAUAACAUUCCUUGAACCUCGGUUUGGGGACUCAAAGCCGUAAGGCGUCGGAGGAGGAACCCGCGCACGAUUAGCUAGUUGGUAGGGUAACGGCCUACCAAGGCUUUGAUCGUUAGCUGGUCUGAGAGGAUGGCCAGCCACACUGGAACUGAGACACGGUCCAGACUCCUACGGGAGGCAGCAGUGGGGAAUCUUGCACAAUGGGCGAAAGCCUGAUGCAGCGACGCCGCGUGGGGGAUGAAGCUUUUCGGAGUGUAAACCCCUUUCGACCCGGACGAAUGCCCCGCAAGGGGACUGACGGUACGGGUAUAAGAAGCCCCGGCUAACUACGUGCCAGCAGCCGCGGUAAGACGUGGGGGGCCAGCGUUGCUCGGAAUUACUGGGGUGUAAAGGGUUCGUAGGCGGUGUAGCAAGUCGGGAGUGAAAUCUCCGGGCUCAACCCAGAGACUGCUUCCGAAACUGCUGUGCUUGAGUGUGGGAGAGGCGCGUGGAAUUGCAGGUGUAGCGGUGAAAUGCGUAGAUAUCUGCAGGAACACCCGUGGCGAAAGCGGCGCGCUGGACCACUACUGACGCUGAGGAACGAAAGCUAGGGGAGCAAACAGGAUUAGAUACCCUAGUAGUCC
rnacentral:rRNA from 1 species